AAGCCCCCGCGGCCUCGCCCCGCCCCCUUUAGCCUGGGCUUGAGCGCGCGCAGAAGUCAGCUUCGUGACUUCCUUCUCAGGAUGGAACCAGCUUGGUGGCUUGAGGGAAAGGGGUUCUGAGUUGCAAAUCAGAAACUUGAAGAUGAAAUGGCUACUACGCUGGGUAUUGCCUUUAUCUUGAAUGCCAGCCUGAUGGUCCAAGGUGAACAAGCCUUCCUGUGUUUUCUGAAUGUGCAGUUCCCCCGCACUUUGCCUGCCACCAUGUAAGAUGUGUCUUUGCGCCUCCUUUGCCUUCCACCAUGAUUGUGCGGCCUCCCCAGCCAUGUGGAACGGUGUCUGGGGUCUGUCAGGAUCAACAGGCCUUGAGAGAGACUGACCCAGAGGACUACUAAAAGGGACACCUGCCCAGGCCAGCCUAUUCUACCAUCCUCGUUCUCCUGCAAAACCAAGGCCACGUCAUUUCAGCAGAGGACCUGCGUGUGGAAGGACCCUGCAGCUGGCCCAUCACAGGAGAGGCCCAGACUCACCUCCCAAGGGGACCCUGGCACAUGAAGAUGCUGGUUCUCCUGGGAGUGCUGCCCUGGCCCACAGGAUAGAAGCGCAGGAUGGUCACCCAUGUCUGCUCUUAUUGAAUGUGUCUUAGAAGCGGCUCCAUGUGUGAUUUCUUUCCCACAUUGGUUAGUAUGGUGUAUACCACGUUUGUGUUCCCAGGCUUUUGUUUAAGUUUGUGGGCAGCCCUGACAUCAGCAUCACACUCAAUGCCUGGGCUGAGCAUAUCCGUCAGACCUCCCAACUAGGCCCACUCAUCACAUAGUCCCAUGCUGCACUUCUAGUUCUGCCAGCCACACCCCAUGCUGGUCCUCAGCCUGGAACACCCUCCCCCACCCUCCCUGCUCAGCUGUCCAGCUCCUACUCAUCCUCCGGCCCCAGGGCAAAUUCACUCUUCCACAAAGCCUGACCUCUCUUCAGCCCACAGGAUCUCUCCUGCCUAGGAGCUUGGUUGUGCAUAUUUGUCCUGUGUGCCUUUGACACAGCACAGUCAUCUCUGACUGCCAACAUCUGUUGCUGCCAACAUGGUAUCAGUUAACCCCUGCACUGCCAUUUAACUUUUCCUCUGAAGUUCUUUGAGAAGGGGACCCUGCCUCAUGGGCCCUUUGUAUUGCCAUCCAAUGUGUGUUAGAAUCUAAACAGUUAGAUAAUUAUCAACCUGUGCCUGAGACCUGCAAUGAAUCAAUAUGUAAAUGAAUCAGGGCACUGGUCAGUCUUCCAGCCCCACUUGAUAUUAAAGACUCAGUGAAGAUGGUUAGCAAA
rnacentral:lncRNA from 1 species